CCUGCAAAGCCACUGAAAUAUCACUCAAUGAAACCAAAAGGAGUAGAGCUUAUGUCUGAAACGAUGGCUUCUGUUGCGACUAACAUGGCGAGACUCGCUGAUGCAUACGAGAAGAGUUUGCCUUGCAUAGAUUAUAAUGAGCUUUACAAGGUUCUAAUGGAUGUUGAAGAUAUUGACAUCAAUUGCCAGAUGACUGCGUUUGACUUUUGUGUACUUGAAUGCAGAUCCUAUAAAAGCUAGAGCAUUUGUUAUUUACCCUCAGGAGAUGCGCUGCUUGCUUUUACUGGGAUCUGUGUACAGCUGAAGCAUACAGACAUCAGUCACAAGUCUUUUUGAGAUAUUCAUGUGGAAGUGGAAUUACUAUGCUGCAAAACUGACCUGAGGGAAAUACUAUACUACUAGUCCAAAGCACGGGUUAGUUUUACAUCGGUACCCGCUAGUCCAAAACCCAAGAACAGAGCUUCCAACUGCUAGACGACGCCGUUUUUCCACGAACCAAACUCACAUCUUGCCGUUGUGAUUUAAGUUUAUCACUAAGAUCGAUUGGGUCGUUGAAGGGGACCAACGGAGCUGAUAUAACUCAAGUGUUCUUGGGGUGCAAGGAUAUAUAAUUGAUAAACACAUUUCAUUGUGAGGCGAGGACAAGGAUGGAUGGGCCUCUCUACGACCUUGGGUGGUAAGCCUCGUCGAUACAACUCGCUUAAUCACUGCGACAACCCCUUGAGGUUGACCAAUAAUUAAAGUUUUUUUUUUUUUGCCUACGAUCAGAUCAGAACCAAUAGAAGUUUAACAGACAUAAUAGUGCAGCUUCAGAGGUAUUAAAAUCUAAAAUAUGUU